GUGUCAGCAGCCGCGGUAAUACGGAGGAUGCAAGCGUUAUCCGGAAUUAUUGGGCGUAAAGCGUCCGUAGGUGGAAGUUCAAGUCAGUUGUUAAAGCGUGAGGCUUAACCUCAUAAGGGCAAUUGAAACUGAGCAUCUAGAGUGCGAUAGGGGCAAGGGGAAUUCCCAGUGUAGCGGUGAAAUGCGUAGAUAUUGGGAAGAACACCGGUGGCGAAAGCGCCUUGCUGGGUCUGCACUGACACUGAGGGACGAAAGCUAGGGGAGCGAAAGGGAUUAGAUACCCCUGUAGUCC
rnacentral:rRNA from 1 species